rnacentral:rRNA from 1 species
UACGUAGGGUGCAAGCGUUAAUCGGAAUUACUGGGCGUAAAGCGCACGUAGGCGGACUCUUAAGUCGGUGGUGAAAUCCUGGAGCUCAACUCCAGAACUGCCUUCGAUACUGAGAGUCUCGAGUCCGGGAGAGGUGAGUGGAACUGCGAGUGUAGAGGUGAAAUUCGUAGAUAUUCGCAAGAACACCAGUGGCGAAGGCGGCUCACUGGCCCGGUACUGACGCUGACGGUGCGAAAGCGAUGGGUAGCGGAACAAGG